ensembl:lncRNA
UCAGCAGCCAUCAUUAUUUUUAAACCUGUUUUGAAAACCUUACAAUGAUAUUACACCAUGGAGACACACGAGGGCGCGCCAGGCAUCUAUUUAAAAUGUGUUUUCAUAGCUUUUCUUGAAGGAUGUAAUUUUGAGUGUGUACAGGAAACGGGGGGCCGCAGGGGAGUCUUAAGGGUCCCCUGUGAGUGACAAGGGCAAGUCUUAUUUCCAGCUUGGUCCAGUCUGCCAGCCUUGUCAAUGAAAUACCAGGAUUCCCUUCCUGAAUGCUCCAUAGUGGAAUCAGGGCUGGAGCUCUACGAUGAACAGGAGCUCUCCGUGUUUGCAAGACGGACUCCUAAGGCUGGUCAGGAUCUCCCUGAGAAGGUCACAUUGAACCUGAGCCCUGGUAAAUAACCUGGAGGAACAGCACUGCAGACAGAUGGAACAGCAUUACCGAGGCUCUGGGGAGAGAGGAGCGAUUUUGGGGAGAAUCACUGCAGGAGAGAACAUGUCGUUGGAGACUUUGGUUUCCAACUGCCUGCUCCACAUCUCUACUGGAGGUCUAAUAAACAUCUCAAAUCAACACAGCUGAAAAUAAAUUAUUAGUUUUCCACUUGCAGACUUGCUUCCCUUCCA